CCUACGGGUGGCAGCAGUGAGGGAUAUUGGUCAAUGGGCUUACGCCUGAACCAGCCAAGUCGCGUGAGGGAAGACUGCCCUAUGGGUUGUAAACCUCUUUUGUCAGGGAGCAAUUGGCGCUACGUGUAGCGUUAUCGAGAGUACCUGCAGAAAAAGCAUCGGCUAACUCCGUGCCAGCAGCCGGGGUAAUACGGGGGAUGCGAGCGUUAUCCGGAUUUAUGGGGUUUAAGGGGGGCGUAAGCGGAAUGCCAGGUCAGCGGGAAAAUCGCGGGGCUCAACCUCGCUCCGCCGUUGAAACUGGCGGUCUUGAGUGGGCGAGAAGUAGGCGGAAUGCGUGGUGUAGCGGUGAAAUGCAUAGAUAUUACGCAGAACUCCGAUGGCGAAGGCAGCAUACCGGCGCCCAACUGACGCUGAAGCACGAAAGCGUGGGGAGCGAACAGGAUUAGAUACCCGGGUAGUC
rnacentral:rRNA from 1 species